AUUGAACGCUGGCGGCAGGCCUAACACAUGCAAGUCGAACGAGUGGCGGACGGGUGAGUAAUGUCUGGGAAUCUGCCCGAUGGAGGGGGAUAACUACCGGAAACGGUAGCUAAUACCGCAUACCAUCGGAUGUGCCCAGUUGGGAUUAGGUAGUAGGUGGGGUAAAGGCUCACCAAGGCGACGAUCCCUAGCUGGUCUGAGAGGAUGACCAGCCACACUGGAACUGAGACACGGUCCAGACUCCUACGGGAGGCAGCAGUGGGGAAUAUUGCACAAUGGGCGCAAGCCUGAUCCAGCCAUGCCGCGUGUAUGAAGAAGGCCUUCGGGUUGUAAAGUACUUUCAGCGGGGAGGCGUUACUCGCAGAAGAAGCACCGGCUAACUCCGUGCCAGCAGCCGCGGUAAUAC
rnacentral:rRNA from 1 species